rnacentral:misc_RNA from 1 species
GCACCGACAAAGCCGAGGAUCUCGCCGCGCCGGACAUCGAGGUCGAGAUGAUCGAGAAUGAGGUUCUCGUUCAGCUUCACCGUGAGGUCGCGCACCCGGAUGAUCGCAUCGUCGGAAUAGGACGCCAUGGUCGCCACCUCAAAUAUUGAUCGUCGCGAAGAAGAUCGCGAACAGGCCAUCCAUGACGAUGACGAAGAAGAUCGAUUUCACCACCGAUGCCGUGGUGUGCUGGCCGAGCGACUCGGCGCUGCCCUUCACCGCAGCACCCUCAACGCAGGCCACGAUGCCGAUCACCAGCGC